rnacentral:rRNA from 1 species
UCAGGUGGCCGCAGAGAAUAGGCCCAAGCGACUGUUUACCAAAAACAUAGGUUUCUGCUAAGUCGCAAGACGAUGUAUAGGAGCUGACGCCUGCCCGGUGCUGGAAGGUUAAGGGGAUCUGUUAGAGUAAUCGAAGCAGUGAACUUAAGCCCCAGUAAACGGCGGCCGUAACUAUAACGGUCCUAAGGUAGCGAAAUUCCUUGUCGGGUAAGUUCCGACCCGAACGAAAGGCGUAACGAUUUGGGCACUGUCUCAACAACAGACUCGGUGAAAUUGUAAUUCCGGUGAAGAUGCCGGAUACCUGCGACAGGACGGAAAGACCCCAUGGAGCUUUACUGUAGCUUGACAUU